ensembl:lncRNA
GUGUGUGCGCUGCGUGGUGACGUAGGCGCGUGCAUGUGUGCCCCGGUCACAGCUCCUUUCAGCAUGGCCGGAGGUAAGUCACUGCCACGUUGCUCUCAGCUAAUUAAAGUUUGUUCAGAUCCCAAGCUGCAAUGUGAAUACAGCCAAACCGCCGCGUUUUUGUUUGUCAUUAAGAGACUCAUUCGGGAUAAGUUUUGUGGAGGGCGGAGUUCACUAAUAUACGCUUAUGAGUUUUAGCCGAGAACGCAGCUAAAAUGCUAGCAUGCUAAGUUAGCCUGAUUGCUAGCGGCUACUCGCGGCAGUCUCUUUUUAACAGCAUGCACUCUUUUUUCCUUCGUCAGGAGAGGUGUACUGGCAGUCGCGUGACACACACAGAUCAGACACAUAUUUCUGUGUUGCAGAUGUGCAGUAAAGAGCCAAAGACCCAGUACUGUCUCCUGCCUCUUACUUUCACGCCAGAACACAACGCAAGAACAACAGGCGUAACACAUGAACGGGUUACACAUACUGAGUGAAAAGCUCACCUGAUGUAGUGGUGAGGCCAUGUUCACCACUAGAUGGAGACAACCUGGCACAGGUAUUUUCUAUACACUAAAUUUCACACUGAAAAGCCUUGGUGGGAAUUUUUGUUUCAUAGAAAGUAAAGGAAAACAUGUCUUGAGGUCUUUUUCCUGUGUUUUCAAAAUUGUGUUUUUCACAUACACAUCAAAACUUCACACAGACAAACACACACAGAAAACAAUAAAAUAUGUCAAAUUGCAUGCACGUCUCAUUCAUUUUCUGAGAAUUUCAACACUUUUAGUUUUUAUGGAAAAUAACUUUGUCAGGUCAGUGAAUAGCUGCC